rnacentral:rRNA from 1 species
CAAUAGCGUAUAUUAAAGUUGUUGCAGUUAAAAAGCUCGUAGUUGGAUUUCUGUGAGAGUGCCGGUGUCGGCUGAUGCUUGUACGCAGGCGCUCUUACAUCCUUCUGUUAACUGUUCUUGGCAUUUUAUUGCUGGUUCAGGGCUCAGAUAUUUUACCUUGAGAAAAUUAGAGUGUUUCAGGCAGGCUUAUGCCGGAAUACAUUAGCAUGGAAUAAUGGAACAGGACCUGUGCGUCUCUCGGGGCGCCGGUCUCCGUUGUUGGUUUCGGGGACUAAUGUAAUGAUUAAUAGGGAUAGUUGGGGGCAUUAGUAUUUAAUAGUCAGAGGUGAAAUUCUCGGAUUUGUUAAAGACUAACUUAUGCGAAAGCAUUUGCCAAGGAUGUUUUCAUUAA